rnacentral:rRNA from 1 species
UGGCUCAGGACGAACGCUGGCGGCGUGCUUAACACAUGCAAGUCGAACGGAAAGGCCCUGCUUUUGUGGGGUGCUCGAGUGGCGAACGGGUGAGUAACACGUGAGUAACCUGCCCUUGACUUUGGGAUAACUUCAGGAAACUGGGGCUAAUACCGGAUAGGAGCUCCUGCUGCAUGGUGGGGGUUGGAAAGUUUCGGCGGUUGGGGAUGGACUCGCGGCUUAUCAGCUUGUUGGUGGGGUAGUGGCUUACCAAGGCUUUGACGGGUAGCCGGCCUGAGAGGGUGACCGGCCACAUUGGGACUGAGAUACGGCUCAGACUCCUACGGGAGGCAGCAGUGGGGAAUAUUGCACAAUGGGCGGAAGCCUGAUGCAGCAACGCCGCGUGCGGGAUGACGGCCUUCGGGUUGUAAACCGCUUUCGCCUGUGACGAACGUGAGUGACGGUAAUGGGUAAAGAAGCACCGGCUAACUACGUGCCAGCAGCCGCGGUGAUACGUAGGGUGCGAGCGUUGUCCGGAUUUAUUGGGCGUAAAGGGCUCGUAGGUGGUUGAUCGCGUCGGAAGUGUAAUCUUGGGGCUUAACCCUGAGCGUGCUUUCGAUACGGGUUGACUUGAGGAAGGUAGGGGAGAAUGGAAUUCCUGGUGGAGCGGUGGAAUGCGCAGAUAUCAGGAGGAACACCAGUGGCGAAGGCGGUUCUCUGGGCCUUUCCUGACGCUGAGGAGCGAAAGCGUGGGGAGCGAACAGGCUUAGAUACCCUGGUAGUCCACGCUGUAAACGGUGGGUACUAGGUGUGGGGUCCAUUCACGGGUUCCGCGCCGUAGCUAACGCUUUAAGUACCCCGCCUGGGGAGUACGGCCGCAAGGCUAAAACUCAAAGGAAUUGACGGGGCCCCGCACAAGCGGCGGAGCAUGCGGAUUAAUUCGAUGCAACGCGUAGAACCUUACCUGGGUUUGACAUGAUCGGGAGUGCUCAGAGAUGGGUGUGCCUCUUUUGGGGUCGGUUCACAGGUGGUGCAUGGCUGUCGUCAGCUCGUGUCGUGAGAUGUUGGGUUAAGUCCCGCAACGAGCGCAACCCUUGUUCACUGUUGCCAGCAGUUAUGGUUGGGGACUCAGUGGAGACCGCCGGGGUCAACUCGGAGGAAGGUGGGGAUGACGUCAAGUCAUCAUGCCCCUUAUGUCCAGGGCUUCACGCAUGCUACAAUGGCUGGUACAGAGAGUGGCGAGCCUGUGAGGGUGAGCGAAUCUCGGAAAGCCGGUCUCAGUUCGGAUUGGGGUCUGCAACUCGACCUCAUGAAGUUGGAGUCGCUAGUAAUCGCAGAUCAGAACGCUGCGGUGAAUACGUUCCCGGGGCUUGUACACACCGCCCGUCAAGUCAUGAAAGUUGGUAACACCCGAAGCCGGUGGCCUAACCGUUUGGGGGAGCCGUCGAAGGUGGGACUGGUGAUUAGGACUAAGUCGUAACAAGGU